GCAAAGCAGACAGAAGCUAUUGCUCCAGGCCCACAGCCUUUUUUUUUUUUUCAAUAUCUCUCUUAUGGCAUAUUUGAGACAUACUUAUACUAAAAAACUGUUCAUUAUUCAUGUGAAAUUCAAACACAUUGUGGCAGCUUGCAUUUU
rnacentral:miRNA from 1 species